rnacentral:misc_RNA from 1 species
GGAAGUAAAAGUCGUAGCAAGGUUUCCGUAGGUGAACCUGCGGAAGGAUCAUUACCAAAUCCAAAUACCCAACCCCAUGUGAAUUAUUGUAUAGUCUGUCUUUGGGAGAAAAAGAAAGAGAAAUCUGGACUUUUCUCCCAAUAGAGUCCGGCACAACUUUAUUGAUGUGUCCAGAUUCGAAACCCUUUAAACCACUUGAUUUUUCUGUUGGAAUUACUUUUAUUAAUUUUAAAUAAAAGACAACUUUUAAUGGCGGAUCUCUUGGCUCGU